AUUGAACGCUGGCGGCAGGCCUAACACAUGCAAGUCGAACGGUAACAGGAAGAAGCUUGCUUCUUUGCUGACGAGUGGCGGACGGGUGAGUAAUGUCUGGGAAACUGCCUGAUGGAGGGGGAUAACUACUGGAAACGGUAGCUAAUACCGCAUAACGUCGCAAGACCAAAGAGGGGGACCUUCGGGCCUCUUGCCAUCGGAUGUGCCCAGAUGGGAUUAGCUAGUAGGUGGGGUAACGGCUCACCUAGGCGACGAUCCCUAGCUGGUCUGAGAGGAUGACCAGCCACACUGGAACUGAGACACGGUCCAGACUCCUACGGUAGGCAGCAGUGGGGAAUAUUGCACAAUGGGCGCAAGCCUGAUGCAGCCAUGCCGCGUGUAUGAAGAAGGCCUUCGGGUUGUAAAGUACUUUCAGCGGGGAGGAAGGGAGUAAAGUUAAUACCUUUGCUCAUUUACGUUACCCGCAGAAGAAGCACCGGCUAACUCCGUG
rnacentral:rRNA from 1 species